CUUCCGUAGGUGAACCUGCGGAAGGAUCAUUAAAUAAUUUAGAUGGCCUUUGCUAGUUUUCUAGCGAAUGGUUCAUUCUUUUUUACUGUGAACUGUUUUAAUUUUUCAGCGUCUGAGGAAUGUCUUUUAGCCAUAGGGAUAGGCUACUAGAAUGUUAACCGAGCUGAAAGUCAGGCUUAGGCCUGGUAUCCUAUUAAUUAUUUACCAAAAGAAUUCAGUAUUAUAAUUGUAACAUAAGCGUAAAAAACUUAUAAAACAACUUUUAACAACGGAUCUCUUGGUUCUCGCAUCGAUGAAGAACGUAGCAAAGUGCGAUAACUAGUGUGAAUUGCAUAUUCAGUGAAUCAUCGAGUCUUUGAACGCAACUUGCGCUCAAUGGUAUUCCAUUGAGCACGCCUGUUUCAGUAUCAAAAACACCCCACAUUCAUAAUUUUGUUGUGAAUGGAAAUGAGAGUUUCGGCUUUAUUGCUGAAUUCUUUAAAAUUAUUAGGCCUGAACUAUUGUUCUUUCUGCCUGAACAUUUUUUUAAUAUAAAGGAAUGCUCUAGUAAAAAGACUAUCUCUGGGGCCUCCCAAAUAAAUCAUUCUUAAAUUUGAUCUGAAAUCAGGCGGGAUGACCCGCUGGAACUUAAGCCUAUCACUA
rnacentral:rRNA from 1 species